rnacentral:tRNA from 1 species
GCCGAAGUGGCGAAAUUGGUAGACGCGCGAGACUCAAAAUCUCGAGGUGGCAACACCGUGUCGGUUCGAGUCCGACCUUCGGCA